UAAUUUUAUUAUUAUUAAUUUAUUAAUUAAUUUUUAGUUAAUAAUUUUUAGUAUUUAAUAUAUAAAGGGUUGAGCUUUUAUAUAGAUCAUUAAAAAUUUAAUUUUUAUAAUUUUUGUAUAAUUUGAAUUGUUAAUCAUUUAAAUAAUUUAAUAGUUAGUUUUAUUUAAUUAUAAUAUUUAUAUUUUUUUUAAUUAUUUUAUUAAAAAAAAAAGUUUAAUUUUAUUUCUUUUUAUAUUAUGAUUAAAUUAGUAGAUUUUAUGUAUAUUUAAAAUUAUUUUUUAUUAGGUAGUGAAAAGGAAUUCGGCAAAUAUAUUUUUCGCCUGUUUAUUAAAAACAUCUCUUUUUGAUAAUAAUUUAAAGUUUAAUCUGCUCAAUGAAAAUUAAAUUGCCGCAGUAUUUUGACUGUGCAAAGGUAGCAUAAUAAUUAGUUUUUUAAUUGAAAACUGGAAUGAAUGAUUGGACGAAAAAAUUUCUGUCUUUUUAUUAUUUUUAUUGAAUUUUACUUUUAAGUUAAAAGGCUUAAAUUUUUUUAAAAGACGAGAAGACCCUAUAGAGUUUUAUUUUUAAUUUUUUUAUUUUUAUUAGAAUUUAAUUUAGUAAUUGAGUUAAAAAUUUAGUUGGGGUGACUAGUUGAUAAAUUUAACUCUUUUAAUUUUGAAUCAAUUAUUUUUGAUUAUAAAAUCUAUAUUUUUAAUUUUAAAAUAAAUUACCUUAGGGAUAACAGCGUAAUUUUUCUUUAAAGUUCUUAUUAAAAGAAGAGUUUGCGACCUCGAUGUUGGAUUAAAAUUUAUUUUAAGUGCAGAAGCUUAAAAAUUGAGUCUGUUCGA
rnacentral:rRNA from 1 species